rnacentral:rRNA from 1 species
GAUGAACGCUGGCGGCGUGCCUAAUACAUGCAAGUCGAGCGAACGGACGAGAAGCUUGCUUCUCUGAUGUUAGCGGCGGACGGGUGAGUAACACGUGGAUAACCUACCUAUAAGACUGGGAUAACUUCGGGAAACCGGAGCUAAUACCGGCUAAUAUCUUGAACCGCAUGGUUCAAUAUUGAAAGACGGUGUUGCUGUCACUUAUAGAUUGAUCCGCGCCGCAUUAGCUAGUUGGUAAGGUAACGGCUUACCAAGGCGACGAUUCGUAGCCGACCUGAGAGGGUGAUCGGCCACACUGGAACUGAGACACGGUCCAGACUCCUACGGGAGGCAGCAGUAGGGAAUCUUGCGCAAUGGGCGAAAGCCUGACGGAGCAACGCCGCGUGAGUGAUGAAGGUCUUCGGAUCGUAAAACUCUGUUAUUAGGGAAGAACAAAUGUGUAAGUAACUAUGCACGUCUUGACGGUACCUAAUCAGAAAGCCACGGCUAACUACGUG